AAAGCCACUAAGUUGCUCCCAGUAUUUUGGAGGGACUUUUCUGGCCACCUCCCCCAUCAGUUUAUUCUUCUAAGUGAGAGCACAAUAAAACGUAAAGAUAAGACGUCAAGAUACUCUUUAAAUAUUUCAGAAGAUACAGGCUAGGGGCAUGGUGCACCCCAGGAUUCACAUCGCUACUAGAGGUUUGCUUUUGAGGCUUUUUGGUCUUUGCUCUUUGACAAAAAUCUGUACAGCUGUUUUAAAAAUUGUUAGCAACAGAAAAUAACACUGAUUCAUAUUCGCACAGGGCCACGGCAGCACCUUCCAGGGACAGAGGACAUCAUCAGCAGUAACUCCAGACCACAAAAGCAGACUGCAAGUGAUGUGCGCAUGCAAGAAAGCGACGGCACGUGCAUUUCACAAUGUUCAAGAGGUUGCACAAAUUGCUUCCGAGUCCCACACAAGGCAAACCCAAUGGAUGGUGGUCGGCUGCAAACACCAAUCCCUCGUGCCCAGCCAGCAAGGACUGCGGCUCAUGCUCUUCAGCAGCCCCUUCCGCCUGGUCAAGUAUUGACAGGACAAGACUGCAAGGUUUGGUGUGCUCAUUAACAGACUUGCUCAUCAUUCAGGCCAUCAUCUCCAGACAGGUGAGCUCUGAAACGCUUCGGUUGUCGGCGAUCCUGUAGGAAAGCCCAUGGAGAAGGUACCACGUCUACCGGCAGCCAGAGUACCUUCAGCAAACCACCCUCAUUCACCUGCUUGCUGCAAGAAGAGGCCAAUGCCAGACUUACCCUGACCACCCUGCUGAGCCGGGCAGUGAAGCUCAGAGCCGGACUGCGGCACUAAACACUUCCAGAGCGGCCGAGAGCCCGAGCUGCAGGGCAGGGGAGCGCUUGGAAUCAGGGGCUGGACUUCGGGCGAGCAGCGGUAGCCAGCG